ACGAACGCUGGCGGCGUGCUUAACACAUGCAAGUCGAACGGUGACCUCGGAGCUUGCUCCGGGCGAUCAGUGGCGAACGGGUGAGUAACACGUGACCAACCUGCCCCUUGCUCUGGGAUAACCCCGGGAAACCGGAGCUAAUACCGGAUACGAGACCGUAUGGCAUCACACGGUCUGGAAAGUUUUUCGGCAAGGGAUGGGGUCGCGGCCUAUCAGCUUGUUGGUGGGGUAAUGGCCCACCAAGGCGACGACGGGUAGCCGGCCUGGGAGGGCGACCGGCCACACUGGGACUGAGACACGGCCCAGACUCCUACGGGAGGCAGCAGUGGGGAAUAUUGCGCAAUGGGCGAAAGCCUGACGCAGCGACGCCGCGUGAGGGAUGACGGCCUUCGGGUUGUAAACCUCUUUCAGCAGGGAAGAAGCGAAAGUGACGGUACCUGCAGAAGAAGCACCGGCUAACUACGU
rnacentral:rRNA from 1 species